UAGCCACACCGGCGAGAAGCCGUACGGGUGCGCCCACUGCGGCAAGGCGUUCGCCGAUCGCUCGAAUCUGCGGGCGCACAUGCAGACGCACUCGGCCGACAAGAACUACGAGUGCCCCAAGUGCCACAAGUCGUUCGCCCUCAAGUCGUACUUGAACAAGCACCUGGAGUCGGCGUGCCAGCGCGAGAGCGACGACAGCAACAACGACGUAGACGCGCCGUCGUAAGCGCCGGGACCAGGACGAGCGGCGACGAGAUUAGAUUAGCCGGUCAUGCACGACGUAAAAAGAAGAUCGCAGUGGCGUCAUCAUGUUGAUUGGUAAAAAAAAAAAGAGAGAAAUAGUAAGCUGCACAGGUAUACACUUUCGCGCGCUCAUGGACCAAGAG